AUACGGGGCUUAUGUCUUGUAUUGGAAUGAUGGGAAUUUAAACCUCUUCCAGAGUAACAAUUGGAGGGCAAGUCUGGUGCCAGCAGCCGCGGUAAUUCCAGCUCCAAUAGCGUAUAUUAAAAUUGUUGCAGUUAAAAAGCUCGUAGUUGAAUUUCUGCUGCAUUGCAUUUUCUCCUAUACGAGUUUUUGCAUUGUGGCUUAUUUCGGUUAUAAAAUUUAUUUUUAUUUCCGGAUGUUUACUUUGAGAAAAUUAGAGUGCUCAAAGCAGGCUUUUGCCUUGAAUAGUUUAGCAUGGAAUAAUAAAGUAGGACUUUGGUUCUAUUUUGUUGGUUUUAGGUACCAAAGUAAUGGUUAAUAGGAACAGUUGGG
rnacentral:rRNA from 1 species